GAGAUUUUUCUCCGCGGGAACGGGACAGGGAUGGGGAUUAUUUUUUAUCCCCGUAACGGGGAAAGGGCGGGGAUGGAGAUUGAUAUCCCCGCCCCUCCCAUUGCCAUCCCCAUAUCUUCUUAUCUGCACGCUCCCCUUCUUAAUUUGGGACUUAAUCAACGGUCACUUUUAAUUGAAAAAUUAAAAAAAAAAAAAGUACUAUCCAACGUUGCGUGCUAAUUUAAAACGAGGUCACUGACUCAAGUGGGUAAGCCGACUCCAAAGGACCACCAACGGCCACCAACGCUUUUUCCAGAAAACUUUGGUUCGGGUCCUUUUCUAUCUGUCGUCAUUGUUCUUCUCUAAUUAUGGGAAUCAAGUCUUCUAUAUAACCCAUGCUCAAGGUAAAAUUAUGUUGUGUGAUAAGAAACCAUGGGUGCCGCCCUUACUACUUUUGAAAACCACACCGCUGCUGAGCUUCAACUGAGGUUCUUUAGACCCCCGGCGCGACCAGACCACUUUCGUAGGACCAUUACAAUCAGAGCGGGUGGGAGAGCAAAUGUACCACACUCAGAUUUACGUUACAACGACACUGACCCAGAAAGGCACGAGGUGAUAAUGAUAUUUGUCGAUGGAGUUGGCACCGGCGUCGGAUUGGUUCCACGUCAAGUCUUGAACUUGUCGAGAGUCAUUUGUGGCAUAAAUGAAGCUGGAAGAUUGGCCAUUCGGGGAGUCCCAAAAUGGGGGUGUGGAUGCUUUGCAGGCGGUGGUUUAGAGGAGCUAGCAUAAGAUCUGGCCUUGGCACUCUCGUCUGCUACUCGUAGACUUCCUGCACUGCAUCGCCAGUUCUUGUGUUUUGUCGCUGUGUUUUUCUUCUUAGUUGAGUCUGUGUAGCUGAAAUAAGCGGCUGGUCCGCUGUCUGGUUUUUUGGGUUCCUUUUGCCCAUAAAGACAGAGACUUGUCAUGUGGUGAGUCAACAUUCUGCCUCUUCCUGCCAAAAACACCCACAAAGGUCUCAUUCAUAAUCUAAUAAUCUUCAAAUUCCAA